rnacentral:rRNA from 1 species
CGGGAAUCUUGCGCAAUGGGCGAAAGCCUGACGCAGCAACACCGUGUGUGUGAGGAAGGCCUUCGGGUCGUAAAGCACUGUUGUUGGGGACGAAGGGCGAGGGGUUAAUAGCCCCGAGCUUGACGGUACCCUUCGAGGAAGCUCCGGCUAACUACGUGCCAGCAGCCGCGGUAAUACGUAGGGAGCGAGCGUUGUCCGGAAUUAUUGGGCGUAAAGAGCGUGUAGGCGGUUCGGUAAGUCUGUUGUGAAAUCCUGGGGCUCAACCCCGGGCGUGCAACGGAUACUGCCGGGCUAGAGGGUGGUAGAGGCAAGUGGAAUUCCGAGUGUAGCGGUGAAAUGCGCAGAUACUCGGAGGAACACCAGUAGCGAAGGCGGCUUGCUGGGCCACACCUGACGCUGAGACGCGAAAGCUAGGGGAGCGAAC